rnacentral:lncRNA from 1 species
UUUGCCAAAUACUUUUUGUUGAAUAAUAAAGGGAUAGAGGAAUUCUGCGAAUAUUGACACGUUGCAUUGAGCCUCAGGGCCAGUAUAUAUAGGAGAUACAUGGGGUAGAGAUAAGGAAGGAUUAGAUAUAUGGAAUGAGUCCACACAAAUCAGUCAUAUCCUAAUAUGACUCUAACUACCAUAUACUCUAACACUUUCCUAAGAAGGCUCUACCACAUCCCUUCCUCAUUUAUUAGCUUAAAAGACCAUUUUCUUAGCAAACAUUUAUUUUGAACCUCUAAAUUUUGGAUACCAGAACCCCACACUCUUUAUUUACAUUUUUCACAAGGUAUGGCUUGCUAGGAUUAAGAAUGUCGUUCCAGCAUAGUCCAUAUUGCAGUAGAUGUCAACAUUUGGUAGGGAAAUUUUGUGUGAUUAUUUUGUUUGGGGAUGUCAUAUCACAAGAAAUGGGUAGUGCAAGAAACAAAGCAACGUAGAGUGAAAUAUGGACAACUUAAGGUGGAUAUACUUGUUUCUGGAAGUUUUUUGUGCAAUAUUUUCAUAAUAGGGUAGAAGGAAAUGCCUAUGAAUUUUAUUGUGCACAGUUGGUGCAUAUUCUCCCUUUUCAUAGCGGUACGUUUAUUUAUCGUUUCCAUGACUCCACCCAUCACUGGCUACAACUACAAGAUAUGCACAAUGACUUACAUUUAUAUCAUCUUGUGUAUAGUUGUACUCAUUGCUUAGGUAGUGGAAGAUAACACAGAGUACUAUUUCUCAACGUGGCCAAUGGGAAAUAGGAGGCAUGUGGAAUCUCAACAGAAUUACAAGCAUUAAACAUGGAAGAAAAUUUUGUAAUAUUGGAUUCUCCAAUUGUGAUGCCUAUUGGAUACUAAUCAAUCUUAAUGGCAAGCUCCUUGAUCUCUUCCUCGAUCUUGUUCAGUGUGACCGCAGCUAAGAGCUAGCAAACAUGGAGGUCAGAGCGGCAGCCAUUUCUCACUUCUGUUCAGCUUCGAUGGAGAUUUCCCUCUCAUUCAACGGCACGAGGGGCACCAAUUUGUCCCUACCGCUCCUUAGUGUCGGACGACUUCCUGUGCCAUUGAACUUUCUUCCCCAAGUACACUUUACAACCGUUGUCCAAUUCAAAAUUAAAAGGCAAUCAGGAUCAAUGUUUAUUCAAAUAUUUCGAGCAAACUAUUCUUAAUAUGUGUUAGCAUGUAUACUAUUAGGAAUUAAUACACCGUGCUAGCCAAUCCUACCGUACUAUAUAUGUAUUAUCCUUGUCCUAAUAAUCUGCUAGUGAAAGACACGCAUACGAAGGCAUGUAACACUUGCAAUGUGUGGCUUCAUUAUGUUUUAGUUACUACCAAGAACCAAUGGGCCUAGCUACCUGCACAACCACAGAGUUUAUGCAUGCCUUUAUUUUUCUAUGGUUAGGAGUAUAUGCCUUUUAAUAUUGAGGAAAUAAUGGUGAGCAACAAAAGGGUGCAGCUAUUGUUGUACAAUAAAUGAAGAAAAAGGGGAUUGUCUUGGCUCCAUGGAGUGAAAGAUAUGAAGGCAACACCACCAACACAACGUUAGCAAAAAGAAUAAGUGAAAGUACAAUACCUAGGAUGUCAUCUCCCGUACAUGUUGCUCACUCCAUACAUCCUAUCAAAUAUUACCUAGCCCUUUUGGUUGUUAUGAUCUUAUCCUUCUCUUCCCACUAAUUUUGAAAUUCUAGUUCUCUGACGAACAUGAGAA